CCUACGGGGGGCAGCAGUGAGGAAUAUUGGUCAAUGGACGAGAGUCUGAACCAGCCAAGUAGCGUGAAGGAUGACUGCCCUAUGGGUUGUAAACUUCUUUUAUAUGGGAAUAAAAUGUUCCACGUGUGGGAUUUUGUAUGUACCAUAUGAAUAAGGAUCGGCUAACUCCGUGCCAGCAGCCGCGGUAAUACGGAGGAUCCGAGCGUUAUCCGGAUUUAUUUGGUUUAAAGGGAGCGUAGGUGGAUUGUUAAGUCAGUUGUGAAAGUUUGCGGCUCAACCGUAAAAUUGCAGUUGAAACUGGCAGUCUUGAGUACAGUAGAGGUGGGCGGAAUUCGUGGUGUAGCGGUGAAAUGCGUAGAUAUCAGGAGGAACAUCGGUGGCGAAAGCGCUUUACUGGACCAUUAUUGACGCUGAGGAACGAAAGCCAGGGGAGCAAAUGGGAUUAGAUACCCUUGUAGUC
rnacentral:rRNA from 1 species